AUCCUGUUAAGUCAGGCAACGAGCGAGACCCACGUCCACAGUUGCCAGCAGUACCCCUCCGGGGUGAUGGGUACACUGUGGAGACCGCCGCUGCUAAAGCGGAGGAAGGAGUGGGCAACGGUAGGUCAGUAUGCCCCGAAUCUCCCGGGCUACACGCGGGCUACAAUGGUUGGUACAAUGGGCAUCUACCCCGAAAGGGGAAGGAAAUCUCUUAAAGCCAAUCGUAGUUCGGAUUGAGGGCUGCAACUCGCCCUCAUGAAGCUGGAAUCCGUAGUAAUCGCGUUUCAACAGAACGCGGUGAAUACGUCCCUGCUCCUU
rnacentral:rRNA from 1 species